UCGAGCGGAAACGAAGAGGUGCUUGCACCUCUGGCGUCGAGCGGCGGACGGGUGAGUAAUGCUUGGGAAUAUGCCUUAUGGUGGGGGACAACAGUUGGAAACGACUGCUAAUACCGCAUGAUGUCUACGGACCAAAGUGGGGGACCCUCGGGCCUCACGCCAUAAGAUUAGCCCAAGUGGGAUUAGCUAGUUGGUGAGGUAAUGGCUCACCAAGGCGACGAUCCCUAGCUGGUUUGAGAGGAUGAUCAGCCACACUGGGACUGAGACACGGCCCAGACUCCUACGGGAGGCAGCAGUGGGGAAUAUUGCACAAUGGGCGCAAGCCUGAUGCAGCCAUGCCGCGUGUGUGAAGAAGGCCUUCGGGUUGUAAAGCACUUUCAGUAAGGAGGAAAGGUUAAGUGUUAAUAGCGCUUAGCUGUGACGUUACUUACAGAAGAAGCACCGGCUAACUCCGUGCCAGCAGCCGCGUAUACGGAGGUGCGAGCGUUAUCGAUUACUGGCGUAAAGCU
rnacentral:rRNA from 1 species